AGGCUCUCCUUAAUCUCGCUGAGCGUCUCGGUGAGGCCAAACUGCGAGGUCUGACCAAGGGCGACAUCGAGCAGCUUCCUUCUUAUCGCUUCAACCCAAAUAACCACCAGUCGGAACAAACACUCUGCGUGGUGUGUAUGAGUGACUUUGAGUCUCGACAACUGCUGCGAGUUCUCCCCUGCAGCCACGAGUUCCACGGCAAGUGUGUGGACAAGUGGCUGAGGGCCAAUCGGACGUGUCCCAUCUGCCGAGCCGACGCCUCAGAGGUUCAGAGAGACUCUGAAUGAUCACACUCCAAUGUAGAAUGUCUUAGACAUGUUCAGCACUGCCUGUCUCAUCUGUUUUGACAUGAGCAUUAUUGCAGACACACAUCACUUCCUGAGCAUACUCCUCCUUACUGCGCGCGUGUGUGCGUGUGUGUGUGUGUGCGCGUCACAUACAACUUCUCAUGAGUGAGUGAUUCUAUUCUUCUUUCAUGCACUAUUUGUCUUUAUGUACAUACAGUAUUCCGUGUGUGUUAUGAAAUUAACUCCUCUACGUUGACAUGAAGGGUCCACUCCCCCACUAUUCUUCUCAGUUAACCUAACUAAUCAGUGUGUUUCUGUCUAUAAAGCUGAUAAUGAAUGGGCAACUUUUCUCCCUUUUAUACCGCGAGUGUGAUAGUCCUGCCUGGCAUUUACCUCAUUCUUGUCUUAACUUGUUACUAGCACUUCACAGCACUCAUUCAAAACUAAGCACAUAUAUAUAUAUAUAUUUGGUCCCUUUUAUUUUCUUAGUUUGUGACUUUGCAGUGGCACAUGAUAUAUGAAUAUAUCUAUAUAUAUAUACUGUAUAAAUGUAUGAAUCUGUAUACCAAA